GUAAAUUAUAUCUGCUAACUUCCCUUUCUCGGCUCUUGCUAAUUCUCCAAGAAAAAUCGUUUUCUGCAAGAUUGGCUGAAUCCAAUUAUUGGCAUCCUUAUCACAAGUUCUACAUACUAUUUGGAGUGAGUUCUGAGGACUUGAAUGGUUGUUUCAUCCUUAAUUAGUUUCUCUUUUUUACUGAUAAUUUUUUCUUACUAAUAAGUUUUGGAUUUUGAAUUAGAACUUGAAUUCUUCCCUGUCUCUAUCGAUUAAUGUCAUUUGCACCUGGAUCAGCUAGCUAAGCAAGUCUAUGGAGCAUCCAAAGUAGCAGCUACCUCAAGUACAGGGAAACUGGAUUUGCUGAAGAGCUUGGGUGCUGAUUUGCCUAUUGAUUACACCAGGGAAAACUAUGAAGAUCUGCCAGAGAAAUUCGAUGUAGUCUAUGAUGCAGUUGGUUAGAUUCUAAAACCAUUGUUGAAUUUCUUUAAUUUCUAAGAAGUUAGAUAGCAAGUACUUAGCAUCAGUUUUAUUUUUGUUAACUGACAAAUCAACAUGUGUAUGGUUUGUGUAAACAGGAGAAUCUGAAAGGGCAGUGAAGGCAGUGAAGGAAGGAGGGCAUGUUGUGACAAUAGUUGGGACAAGUCCGGUGGUUCCACCAGCUGUUAUGUUCGUUCUCACUUCCAAUGGGGCUGUUUUGGAGAAACUGAAUCCUUUCUUGGAGAGUGGGAAGGUUAAGCCAAUGAUUGAUCCCAAAGGCGUAUUUCCUUUUUCUCAAACCAGGGAAGCCUUUGCCCAUCUUGAAACUGGCAGAGUUACUGGAAAAGUAGUCAUAUAUCUAUAAUACCAAGAGAAAAGGAAAAUCAUCAAUGUACUUUAUCUAUCUUUCUUUCUGGUUGAGCAUCCACCUGUGUUGUUAUAUGUAAUGAUGGUAUUAAUAAGAGUUUGUUAAGAGAGGAAUAACGUUGGAUUAAUAAAACUUAAAAAAGAUAUUACUAGUUUUUAAUGCUUAUCCUUAAAAAUAAAAGAAGUAGCAGCUUAUCGAAUUUACCUUGUCAGGGCCCAAUUGUGGUCAUUAGCUUGUCACAGGGAAGAUCUUCUGGAGAGAUAGCGAAAGAGAAUGCAAUGCCUUUGGAAGAAAGAUUUUUAGAGUUUGGUAUCCUGUCAAUGGCUUAUCACAAGGAAGAGAUCAGUCCUUGUAUCACAUGCCAAAUCAAUUGAAUUUAGAAGCAAACCUUAAGCUUUUUUAUUAUUUGCUCAGUUCAAACCUUAAACUUAAUCCACUUGGAUUGUAAUUUCCAAUACCAAUGUGUUGUUCUUUGUAAUCUAAUUGUUACAGUCAUGACUUUUACUAUAUCUCAAAAGCAGAGAGAAGCUUGGAGAGAACUAGUGAAGCUGAUUUGCAAAACAGGGUAUCCAUUCACAGUACAUGAUAAUCACACAGUGAUCAUAUAUAUGACAAGAUAUUAGAGUGUAUAACACCUGUGACAACCGCUUAACAAGUGUUCAAAUAAGAUGAAAACAACACAGCAUUAUACUAUCCUAACAUCAGAGAUAUUGACAACAAGAAAGCAUACUAAGCACUAAUUAUAUUGUCAAAAUGCUUGCACGUGUCCAUGCUGGUGUUAUUCUCUAACACUAAUGACCCAAAACCCAAAUCCUGGCUGCUAUUUCUUUAAUAAGCAAAAUUUACAAUGUUGUCAGCUUGUUCUCACUAUAAUGUUAAUUAAAAAUUUACCUGUAAGAGACAUUAAAGAUUAAAAUAAUUUCAUUAAGGAUUAGGUAGGUGGUGCUACUUCAAUGAUUUUAUACCUUUUGCUGCGAGGCUGGGACGAAAGUUCAAAUGAUGGUCUCCAAAUUCGAUCCAGUUUCGAUGGCAACCUAGGAAUGGUCAUAUGAUGAAAGGUGUCUGCACAAUGAACCUGGACAGAGAAUCAAUGCUUAUAAAUUGUUUGAAUGAAAACGGAAACUAUAAGAUUCUAAGGUUUUGGCAUCAGCCAUUGCAUUAGCCAUAAUAAACAAAUUAAGGACAUUAAACUAUAGAAUUUAACAAUCUUAUAUGUUCUCAUUAGGUGUCCAAAUCCAUUCUCUGCAGCCAAAGUGAUUGAGGCUCAUUCGUAAUGCUAUAAAUACUUGCAGUCUUAUCAUUUAUCAAACAACAAAGAAGAAAGUAAGUAUUGAUACAGCAAAGAAAGAACAAAACGUUGCUUUUGAAAAAAUGGAGAAUGAUGCCGGUGCUGCUUCUGUUCCCUCUACAAUGAAGGCUUGGGUUUAUGCUCAACAUGGAAAACCUGCUGAUGUUCUGAAACUCAAGUCAGAUGUUGCUGUACCCCAAGUGAAGGAAGACCAGGUUCUAGUCAAGGUUGUUGCGGCAGGGCUUAAUCCACCUGAUAACAAGAGGAUGAUUGGGAUAUUUAUACAUGCUGAAUGUCCUUUUCCAGUAAGUACCAUUCUCUUCCUGUCGGUUUUUUUCUUUUUUUCUUUUUUGUGGUUUCACUUUUCUGUUUUGCAGUAAUAAAGGAUUUGUUCUUUCUUCUUUUGUUUCUCUGCCUUUCAGACGAUUCCAGGCUAUGAUGUUGCUGGCGUGGUGGUGAAAGUAGGAAGCCAAGUAAAGAAUUUAAAGGUAGGAGAUGAAGUAUAUGGGAAUGUUCAUGAGAAAGCCUUGGAUCAUCCGAAACAAUAUGGCACUUUAGCUGAGUAUACUGCUGUUGAAGAGAGGUUGUUAGCUCUCAAACCAAAAAAUGUGAGCUUUCCUGAAGCUGCUGCACUGCCUGUUGGCACUGGGACUGCCUACGAAGGCCUUCAACGAUGCCAGUUUUCUGCAGGUCAAUCUAUUCUUGUCUUAGGAGGUGCUGGUGGGGUUGGCAGCAUGGUCGUUCAGGUAAAUUUGUUCAAAUUAAUCUCGAUGAAAUUUUGGAUUAUGAACUGUUGGAACAUAAUCCCUUUUCAUCUUUGUACUUUCCUCUACUUGAUCAGCUAGCCAAGCAUGUUUUUGGGGCAUCCAGAGUAGCAGCUACAGCAAGCACUGGAAAACUGGAGUUGCUCAAGAGCUUGGGAGCUGAUUUAGCAAUCGAUUACACCAAAGAGAACUUCGAAGAUCUACCAGAGAAAUUCGAUGUAGUAUACCAUUGCGUUGGUAAGAUUAUGAAUCUGUUGUUGAUCCUUAACAAAUUUGAUCUUUCCUUAGACAAAAGACUAAUUAUAAACACCAAUUAAUCAUGGUAAAAAAAAAAAAAAACAGGGCAAUGCGAAAGGGCAGUGAAGGCAAUGAAAGGAGGAGGGCGAGUGGUGACAGUUAGCGGUGCUGUGACAGUGCCAGCAUUUAAAUUCAUAGUCACUUCUAAUGGAGCUGAUUUGGAGAAACUGAAUCCUUAUUUGGAUAGUGGGAAGGUAAAGGCAGUGAUUGAUCCCAAAGGCAUUUAUCCUUUCUCUCAAACCCUGGAAGGACUUGCCCAUGUUGACACUGGCAGAGUUGCAGGAAAAGUGGUCGUAUAUCCGAUCCAAGAAGAGAAUUGAUGGUGUCAAUACAUAAAAGUAUUUGAAAUUCUUAUAAUAUAUUUAAAUUUUGAAAUAUAAAACAGUUAAUUAAUAGAGUUGUUGUUAUUUAUGACAAAUCCCAUCGUUUAGAAUUUUUGUAAAUAUGAGAUUUUUUUGAGAAUUUUCGCAAGAGUAAUGGAUUAAUUUUAUUAAGUGAUCUUACGAGAAUUUCAUUUUAUUUACUAUUAAAUAUAAUUAUUUUAUUUUAAAUUUCUUUUAAUAAUAUAUAUUAAUUAUAUUCUGCAAACGUAUAAAACGAGCUUAGUGAAUAUCUAACUCUAAUUAUAAACUUUGCCAUCAGCCAUCACAUUAGCCAUAAAUAAACAAAGAUCAUUGCCCAAUGGAUCUACAUAGAAAAAAUAAAUGCAUAUUUUAACUUUUUCUAUUGUGAGCUUAAAAAUCACCAUUUCCACUGUUGUCUUCUACUAGCCAGCACCCAUAAUGAUUAGACUUUCCACCUUUCUUAUAAAUUGUUGCAUAAAAAAAGUCGUCUAUAAAUAUUAUUAAGUAUUUAGUUUAUUGUAAUUUAAGUAAUCGUGCAUGGUUUGCACAAAUCAUCAUUUUCAUUAAUUUUAGAUAUUAAUUCUAAUUUAGUCAUAUAAUGCAUUUUUUAUAUACCAUUAAAAAGGCUUGGGGGUUUUGAAACACAUAAUUUCUCGUAGAGGAUUUUAAUAGUCUCUCCAUAACAACGAGAAUGAAGAGAUCGUUGUAUAUAUGAAAGAGAAUUCAUAACGUAAGCUUCUUCAAUAAAAAAGAGAGUGGAAAAUUCAUUUGAAAAUGUAAGCCUACAAUAUACCACUAUAUGAAAUAACCUUUCCAUUAAUGUGACUUUCAAAUAGUCAUAACUUUUUAUAUGAAAAAAAUAUAACUUUUUAUUUACAAUUUUUCAUAUGAAGAUACAAUCUUUUAUUUUAAAAAUACACCAAUACUUUGUUGUUAUAAGUUAUGAUAUUGUCCUAAGAGCUUGUUAAAAGGGGGUGUGACAUUGGAUUAAUAAAAGUUAAAAAAAGAUAUUGCUAGUUUUUAAUGUUUAACCUUAAAAUGGAGUAAUUAAGAUAUUUCAUAUCUUCCAAAAACAAGAAUAAAAUCAAGAUUCAUUAUGAUGUUUGUUUACUUUAUCAUAUAAUAUAUACCAAUUUUUUUGAGGGGAUUACCUUCUUAAGCUGAUCAGAAACUUGCAAUUUACCAUAAAAUGCAAAUCAAAAUCCGAACAAAGAUUUAUUACCAUAUAUGGUCUUCUCAUUUAAACUCUGUCCAUAGCUCACAUGUAUAUAAUAUAGAAUAGUCCUGCCCAAGCAAAAUUCUCAUUGAAGUUCAACUUCUUCUAACCAACCAAAAGUACAUUCAAUUCAUCAUGAAGGGUUUGAUUUCCUUUCUCCUUUUGAUCCUUCUCUUCUGCAGUUUUGGUGAAUCUCCUUCUCUCACUUUGUUUUCUUGAUUAUUUUGUACUAUACAAGAAUCUUUACUCUUUUUUUCUUUUUAUCAAGAAUUUCUUCUUUAUUUCUGGAGGGUUUAAUUCAAUUAUGCAUGUUAUAUAUACAUUCAGAAAGUGAUAAAUCAAUCAGGGCAGAGGCUAAAACUUGCAGAGUAUUUUUGGAAAGCAUGACAGAGUGCAUUACUACGGAGUGCACUGAAAGAUGUCAAGCUAAGUUUGGAACCGAGGCUGUUGGGAAAUGUGGAAAGAUUUCUGCUUGUAAUUGUGAUAUUCCUUGUUAAUUUUCUUUUCAUGUCCUUGAAGGAAGGAAGGAAGAAAGAAAUAAAAGGAGCUAGGAAAUCCUUUUAUUCUUUUCUUUCUUGGGUAUGUGACAGCCUAUUAAGUUAAUUUAAUUAAAAAACUAAAAAGGUUUAGGGGAACAACUAUAUAUAAUAAUUACAUUUAAAAGGGGUCAAAUCAAAAAAUGAAUGAACCUAAAAAUGAAAGGGCUAGCAACUUAUGAAAUUUAUCAUGUAAGGGCCAAACUGUGGUCCUAUAUCCAAUCCCAUGAGAAGAAUUAUCAAUGUAAUUUACAGUGAGAGUUUUUUAAUAACAUUCUGUGCAAGAUCUUCUGGAGAUACAGCAAAAGAGAAUGCAAUGCAUCGAAGAAAGAUUUUUGGAGUUUGUUACCCUGUCAAUGGCUUAUCACAGGGAAGAGAUCAGUCUUUGUAUCACAUGCCAAAUCAAUUGAAUUUAGAAGCAAACCUCAAUUUUUUUUUUGGCUCAGUUCAAACCUUAAACUUAAUCAACUUGGAUUGUAAUUACCAAUUCCAAUGUGUUAUUCUUUGUAAUCUAAUGACCCAAAAUCCAAAUCUUGGCUGCUAUUUCUUCAAUAGGCAAAGUUUACCAUGUGGUCAGCUUGUUCAGACCAUAAUGUUCGUUAAAAAUUUGCCUGUAAGAGACAAUUAAAGAUUAAAAUAAGUUCAUUUUGGAUUAGGUAUGUGGUACCACUUAAAUAUUUUCUAACUCAAUUAAAAAAAAUUUUACUAUUUCUAGCGCAUCGUCCGGCCAGCAGGCUACUUACAUUACAUAUGGAAGUAGUGAACAUCUACUCAUUUCCUUACCACAUAUUCAACUUUUGUCUUUUCAUUUCCAGCCAACUACCUUUUGCCAGGACUGCAAUUAAAUCCUUAUCUGGGGGCCUACGAAAUGAACAUGGCCAUAAAUUAGUACCUAUGCAUUUCUUAACUUUUCUGAUUUGAUCUUUGCCUUUUUGGGCAGACCAGAAACCCUUUGCUUUCAAACCUUACACCAAUAUAGGUGGUGGACAUUCUACCUACACGGAAAAAUAUCUCAACUACGGAAGCCUCAAUUUUGGCAUUGUUUCACCAACCUCAACUCUUGGCCUUACUUGAUUAACUGUUGUAAUGAAUUAUGUGCAGUGGAUGAGUAAAAAUUACUACUAUAAGUUAACAAAGGUUAGCAGAUAGGAUGAUCAGUGAUUGAGAUUCUUACCUGUAUCUCCUAGCUAGCUAGUUGAUCAAAGGAAAGCUUGUUUACAUUUCUCAUGGCUUCAAGCGCAACUCUUCCAUCUCAAAUGAAGGCCUGGACUUAUGCUGAAUAUGGAAAAUCAUCUGAUGUCCUGAAAUUAGGCUCAGAUGUUGCUGUACCCCAACUGAAUGAUGACCAGGUUCUGGUCAAAGUUGUAGCAGCAGGGAUUAAUCCUGUUGAUUUCAAGAGAAUGCUUGGAUUAAUCAAAGCCACAGAUUCUCCUUUACCUGUAAGUCUCUUUCUCUUCCAAUACUCGUUAUUUUCUUUGCUAAAACUUUUCCUUCUGUGUGGUGUCAAGCUAGAGGAAGAAGACUGUGGUUAACUAUAAUUAUGGUCUGAUUAAAUAUCUGCUAAUUACUGUUCAGAAACAUGCAAAGAACAUAUAGAUUAUGAGAGCUUCGGGAUUUUUAGUCUAGUAGAAACAGUCCUUCUAACAGGAAUCAAUGAAAGAAUAAAAAAAGCAGCUGAUUCCCUGAGGUCAGGUAGGAUAAAGUGAUCUCUUUAAAAAAACAAGGAAAAACACAGAACGAGCUAUAAAAUAUGAAGCAAAUCUUGUUGUCUUGUUAUUGUCAUAUGACAAGUCGUUUUCUAUGUUAUUAAUACUUCAGCCUAGCACAAAAAUUCCUAUGUAAUUUCUUUUAAAAUUUCUUCUUAUGUUAUUCUAUUUUGUCAGAUUGUUCCAGGCUAUGAUGUUGCUGGUGUGGUGGUUAAAGUGGGAAGCCAAGUAAAGAAAUUUAAGGAAGGGGAUGAAGUAUAUGGGGACAUUAAUGAGAAGGCCUUGGAUCACCCAAAACAAUUUGGAACUAUAGCUGAAUACACUGCUGUUGAAGAGAGGCUGUUGGCUUUCAAACCGAAAAAUCUGAGUUUUAUUGAAGCUGCAGGGCUGCCCUUAGCCAUUGAGACCGCCCAUGAAGGCCUUGAACGGUCUCAGUUUUCUGCUGGCAAAUCUAUCCUUGUCUUGGGUGGUGCAGGUGGGGUUGGCACCAUGAUUAUUCAGGUAAAUUAUAUCUGCUAACUUCCCUUUCUCGGCUCUUGCUAAUUCUCCAAGAAAAAUCGUUUUCUGCAAGAUUGGCUGAAUCCAAUUAUUGGCAUCCUUAUCACAAGUUCUACAUACUAUUUGGAGUGAGUUCUGAGGACUUGAAUGGUUGUUUCAUCCUUAAUUAGUUUCUCUUUUUUACUGAUAAUUUUUUCUUACUAAUAAGUUUUGGAUUUUGAAUUAGAACUUGAAUUCUUCCCUGUCUCUAUCGAUUAAUGUCAUUUGCACCUGGAUCAGCUAGCUAAGCAAGUCUAUGGAGCAUCCAAAGUAGCAGCUACCUCAAGUACAGGGAAACUGGAUUUGCUGAAGAGCUUGGGUGCUGAUUUGCCUAUUGAUUACACCAGGGAAAACUAUGAAGAUCUGCCAGAGAAAUUCGAUGUAGUCUAUGAUGCAGUUGGUUAGAUUCUAAAACCAUUGUUGAAUUUCUUUAAUUUCUAAGAAGUUAGAUAGCAAGUACUUAGCAUCAGUUUUAUUUUUGUUAACUGACAAAUCAACAUGUGUAUGGUUUGUGUAAACAG
rnacentral:lncRNA from 1 species